UGUGACGUAAGAGAUAAAAGGUUAGGGUCGAGGAGUAUGAACGGGGAAAAAAAAAACAGGAAAAAGAAUAGAAAAGAAAAAAAAGAAGGAAACUAUUAUUAUUAUUAUUAUUAUUAUUAUUAUUAUUAUUAUUAUUAUUAUUAUUUAUCGUCACGUAAUCUCAAAAGGUAUUUAUUCUCUUUCAUGAUAAAAGUGCAACAAUAUAAGGUCAACGGCAAAGGUCAUAUGCAAUGAUUAAAACACAUUUUUCGUGAUAAUACAUACGUAUUUAAAUAAGUAAGUAAGUAAGUACUUAUGUACGAGGAGAAAAUCCACGAAGGAAAAUUGUCUAGUAAAAGUUAUAUAUAUGUGCGUGUGUGUGUGUGUGUGUGUGUGUACGCGUGUGUGUGUUAACUUGGGAAGGAAUCGUUACGUUAUUGUUGUUUCCUCGAAUCCAUCAGUUUUGUUUUGUUUCUUUUCUCUCUUUUUUUUUUUCUCCCUUUCUUUUUCUUUCUGUUUUCUUCUUUUUUUUUUUUACUGCCAUCAUUAUUUCUAUCGUCGAUUAGAGAAAAAUAAAGAACGUAACGCAUAGAGAGAAAGAAUAACAUACAUGUGCCAUAUUAUUGCACGAUAUUCGUGUGUGGGAUAACGUAGAUGACAUUCUUUCGUCGAGAUAAAGCUCGAAAAAGAAAAAAAAAAAAAAAAAGAAAAGAAAAAAGAAGAGAAAGAAAAAAGGAAACGAGAGACAGAAAGAGAGAGAGAGAGAGAGAGAGAGAGAGAGAGAAAAGAAAAAAAAUAUAAGUUCGCGUUCUCGUUACACUCGAACGAUAAUGUAGCCUCCACUACCAUUGUCUCUUUCUGUAACAUGAAAGGAACGUAAAAAUCAGGUAUCUCUAUUUCCACGAAUAUUCGAAACGGGAAGGCCUAAAUGUCGGAGGUACAUCGAGGAUACAUUGGAAGAUACGCCGAAGGUAAGAAUUGAAAUUGUUUCCUCGGAUUGUUGAAACGUACUUUUCUUUUUCUUUUUUUUUUUUUUUUUUUUCUUCUACAAAGAAAAAAGGAGUCCGAACGUUUUUCAUCGAAUUCCCAGUGGAAUUCAGAAGAAAAAGAAGAAGGAGAUGAAAAUGAAGAUGAAUAAGAAUAAGAAUAAGAAUAAGGGACGUGUCCCGCGUUCGUUGUCAUCAUCGUGUAUACAUACGCGCAGGAGAGAGAGAGAGAGAGGGGAAUAUAAAGCAAGGAGUAGGAUAAAGAAAGAAAGGAAGAUACUGAAAUUCGGUAGGAAGUAAAAUCGAGAAAGAUAGAGAGAGUAGUAAGUAGGAAAAUAAUGAAAGAAAUAAAGAAAGAGAAGUAGCGAAGGAAGUUUCGCUUGGCAGAGGCAAGCAUGCAUGCAGGCAGGCAAGCAGGCAGGCAGGCACGCAGGCAGACAGGCAAGCAAGCACAGGCAGGCAGGCAAGCAGGCAUACAAGUAAGCUAGCAGGCAAGCAAGCAGGCAGGUACACAGAAAGAGAGAGAGAGAGAGAGAGAGAGAGAGAGAGUGAGAGAGGGAGGGAGAAGGAGUAAGAGAGAGUGAGAGAGAGAGAGAGAGAGAUAGAGAAGAGUGGCACCCUGCGGCGCAGGGUGCGCGUCGACAGUGAAAGUUUCGACAAGACGGCUCGCGCGAUUGGCGGAGAGUAAGGUAAGUGGUGGGGGUUACGCUGACUGGCUGGCUCUCUCGGUGGCUCGCGACGAGCGUUGUUCGGUCGCUCAGCUUUAGUCAGUGGCGGACCGUCUACGGUGUCGCUUCGUAUUUGUCGUGCGGUGUUUCGCGCGUUCACCUGCCAUUUUCAUUUCGAUCUGUUUCCCUAUUAUUAUAAUAUAUAUAUUAUAUAUAUAUAUAUAUAUAUAUCUCGCCGAAACAUACGAAGUUUGAUAUACGCAAGAAGAUAGAGACGUUGUUAAUUACUUGUAUCUAUUUUAUUCUCGAGAGUAUAUGCACCCACCCAUCGACCCGGCGCGCGAGGAAAGAAUAUUUUUUUACAUAUAUUUAUCGUUUUGCGUGCAAGAAAUAAACACAAGAGAGUAUAUCUCGUUCGCACGUGUCCUCACGUUGCCUUUAAAUCGCAUUAAUCAAAGAGACGAAUAUUAAUUCUGAUUGAUUGAACGGAUUCGUCAUUUGUUUUCUAUUACAUUGGAUAUUACCGUGUUUGUGGACAACGACGUGGUUGUGUGGUAGUUGGUAGUAGUGGUGGUAGUAGUAGUGGUGGUGUUUGGUAGUGUUGGCUGUGGUAAUUUCCUUGCGGAAGAAGAAGAAGAAGAAGAAGAAGAAGGAAGAAGUAUAGAGAAAUAUAUAUAUAUAUAUAUAUUAUAUCUCGUUGUUGAAGAAGAAGAGGAAACAAGACUACCACGAAGGAUUUGUUCUUUUUUCGGCCGGAAGAAAGAGAGAGAGAGAGAGAGAGAGAGAUAUAUCGCGAAAGUAGAGCGAACCAAUAGAAGGAGUACUUUGGUUCGUUUAAGUGUGUGUUAUACCAUGUGUAUGUGAGAAAGAGAGAGAGAGAGUUCAUCUGUGUCUCUCUCUGUGUUUACUCUGUCUCUCUCUCUCUCUCUCUCUCUAUCUGUAUCUAUCUAUCUAUCUGUCCUAAGUAUAUAUAUAUAUAUAUAUAUAUGUGUGUGUGUAUGUGAGGGAGCUCUCUGUGCGAAUAUAUGUGUGUACGUAUAUGUCGUACAAGAGGGAGAGGCUGGACCUGACCUCGAUACGGGAAUCGAGCGUUACUCUCGAAGGCCACCAAGGAAGUACACGCGCACACACUGGCACAGACGCGCACAUAUAUUAUAUAUAUAUAAAGAGAGAGAGAGACAGAUAGACGUGUACGUACAUAGAAGGAAGAAGGAUUUUUAAAGGCAAGAACAACAUCGUCAGAAAGAAUUAUUAAAGGGAAAAGAUAAUAAAGUAUAAUAAUAAAUAAAUUAAGUAGCAAGGAAGACAAGUAUUUCGUCGCUGAAUUAAAAAAAAAGAGGGAGAGAGAGAGAGAGAGAAAGAAAAACAGAAAAGAAAGAGAGAAGAAAGAAAGAGAAAAUAAGACGAAGUCGAAAAGUAGAGACUAAGAUAAACGAAGAAAAUUAAGAUCGAGAGGAUAGAUCUUUUUUCUUUUUAUUUUUAUUUUUAAUUUUAUUUUUCUCUCAUUUACGUGAUAAAAAGAAACAAGAAGAAAAUUGUUUGACCUAUUGUACGUAUUCGUGGAAUAUUUUGUAUUGCUUGAACUCGAUUCAGCAAAACCCAGCCAGCCAGCCAGCCAGCCAGCCAGCCAGCCAGCAGCCGCCGACUCACGACGACUAGCAAUAGUCUCUAUCUAUCUCUCUCUCUCUCACACAUAUACACAAGCACACACUCUCUCCCACACAGAUAUACACACCACACAGACACCGUUUCGUUCGCUCUCUCACGGGCGGCGCGCGUUCCCUUUUGCGCGAUCGUGACCCCGUUUCCUCGAUGACCGACACACCGCGACUCGACGGCGAGCGCCAUUAGCCACGACCGCGGAGAACAUACAUACAUAGAUAGAUAGAUAGAUAGAUAGAUAGAUAGAUAGAAAAAGAGAGAAAGAGAGAGUGAGUGAGGGAACGAACGAACGAACUAACUAAGCGAAUCUAAGAGGAAAACGAGGAUUCAAACCAACGGCGAAUCUCACGAGAAAAUUUGUCUAUCUAUUCUUAUUCGUUAUAUCUUCUUUUCUUUUCUUUUUUUUUUUUUUUUUUUUUUUUUUUUU